rnacentral:rRNA from 1 species
UUUAUUUAGAGAGUUUGAUCCUGGCUCAGGAUGAACGCUGGCGGCGUGCUUAACACAUGCAAGUCGAACGAAGCACUUUGGAC